rnacentral:rRNA from 1 species
UACGUAGGGGGCUAGCGUUGUCCGGAAUCAUUGGGCGUAAAGCGCGUGUAGGCGGUCCGGUAAGUCCGCUGUGAAAGUCGGUGGCUCAACCCUCGAAUGCCGGUGGAUACUGUCGGGCUAGAGUGCGGAAGAGGCGAGUGGAAUUCCUGGUGUAGCGGUGAAAUGCGCAGAUAUCAGGAGGAACACCAAUUGCGAAGGCAGCUCGCUGGAACGUAACUGACGCUGAGACGCGAAAGCGUGGGGAGCAAACAGG